rnacentral:rRNA from 1 species
GUAGGUGGCAAGCGUUGUCCGGAAUUAUUGGGCGUAAAGCGCGCGCAGGCGGUUCUUUAAGUCUGAUGUGAAAGCCCACGGCUCAACCGUGGAGGGUCAUUGGAAACUGGAGAACUUGAGUACAGAAGAGGAAAGCGGAAUUCCACGUGUAGCGGUGAAAUGCGUAGAGAUGUGGAGGAACACCAGUGGCGAAGGCGGCUUUCUGGUCUGUAACUGACGCUGAGGCGCGAAAGCGUGGGGAGCAAACAGGAUUAGAUACCCUGGUAGUCCACGCCGUAAACGAUGAGUGCUAAGUGUUAGGGGGGUUUCCGCCCCCCUUAGUGCUGCGGCUAACGCAUUAAGCACUCCGCCUGGGGAGUACGCCGCAAGGCUG